AAUUAGCCCCGAUUGCAACGGCAUCCUUUUUUGUUGCGGGCGGAGUGAAACGGAGCCCGUAACAAAAAAGAUAUAGCGGAAAGCGGGAUUAAGC
rnacentral:sRNA from 1 species